rnacentral:rRNA from 1 species
GAUGAACGCUGGCGGCGUGCCUAACACAUGCAAGUCGAGCGGAGUUGCUCCUUCGGGGGUAACUUAGCGGCGGACGGGUGAGGAACACGUAGAUAACCUGCCUUGUACUAAGGAAUAGCGUUCAGAAAUGGACGCUAAUGCCUUAUAAGCUCACACGGGAGCAUUUUCGAGUGAGAAAAGAUUUAUCGGUAUGAGAGGGGUCUGCGACUGAUUAGCUUGUUGGCGGGGUAACGGCCCACCAAGGCUGCGAUCAGUAGCCGGGAUAAGAGUCUGAACGGCCACAUUGGGACUGAGACACGGCCCAAACUCCUGCGGGAGGCAGCAGUGGGGAAUAUUGCACAAGGGGCGAAAGCCAGAUGCAGCAACGCCGCGUGAAGGAUGAAGGUUUUCGGAUUGUAAACUUCUUUAGGCAGGAACGAAUAAUGACGGUACCUGCAGAAUAAGCACCGGCUAACUACGUGCCAGCAGCCGCCGUAAGAC